rnacentral:rRNA from 1 species
AUUGAACGCUGGCGGCAUGCCUAAUACAUGCAAGUCGAACGAGACCUUCGGGUCUAGUGGCGCACGGGUGCGUAACGCGUGGGAAUCUGCCCUUGGGUUCGGAAUAACUUCGGGAAACUGAAGCUAAUACCGGAUGAUGACGAAAGUCCAAAGAUUUAUCGCCCAGGGAUGAGCCCGCGUAGGAUUAGCUAGUUGGUGGGGUAAAGGCUCACCAAGGCAACGAUCCUUAGCUGGUCUGAGAGGAUGAUCAGCCACACUGGGACUGAGACACGGCCCAGACUCCUACGGGAGGCAGCAGUGGGGAAUAUUGCACAAUGGGCGAAAGCCUGAUGCAGCGACGCCGCGUGAGGGAUGACGGCCUCGGUUGUAACUACUUUCAGCAGGAGAAGCGAAAGUGACGGUACCGUGCAGAAGAAGCACCGGCUAACUACGUGCCAGCAGCCGCGGU